rnacentral:rRNA from 1 species
GAUAAACGUUGGCGGCGUGCCUAACGCAUGCAAGUCGCACGGGGCGCAAGCCUAGUGGCGGACGGGUGAGUAACACGUAGGAACCUGCCCAGAAGUGGGGGACAACUCUCCGAAAGGAGAGCUAAUACCGCAUACGGUCUACGGACCAAAGCUUCGGCGCUUCUGGAGGGGCCUGCGGUGGAUUAGCUAGUUGGUGGGGUAACGGCCUACCAAGGCGACGAUCCAUAGCUGGUCUGAGAGGAUGAUCAGCCACACUGGGACUGAGACACGGCCCAGACUCCUACGGGAGGCAGCAGCGAGGAAUUUUGCACAAUCGACGAAAGUCGGAUGCAGCAACGCCGCGUGGGGGAAGAAGGCUUUCGAGUUGUAAACCCCUUUUGUGAGGGAAGAAGAUCUGACGGUACCUCACGAAUAAGUCACGGCUAACUACGUGCCAGCAGCCGCCGUAAUAC